rnacentral:rRNA from 1 species
CCUACGGGAGGCAGCAGUGGGGGAUAUUGCACAAUGGGGGAAACCCUGAUGCAGCGACGCCGCGUGGGUGAAGAAGCGCCUCGGCGCGUAAAGCCCUGUCAGCAGGGAAGAAAAUGACGGUACCUGAAGAAGAAGCCCCGGCUAACUACGGGCCAGCAGCCGCGGUAAUACGUAGGGGGCAAGCGUGAUCCGGAUUUACUGGGUGUAAAGGGGGCGCAGACGGCGAUGCAAGCCAGGAGUGAAAGCCCGGGGCCCAACCUCGGGACGGCUCUUGGAACUGCGUGGCUAGAGUGCAGGAGGGGCAGGCGGAAUUCCUGGUGUAGCGGUGAAAUGCGUAGAUAUCAGGAGGAACACCGGUGGCGAAGGCGGCCUGCUGGACUGCAACUGACGUUGAGGCCCGAAAGCGUGGGGAGCAAACAGGAUUAGAUACCCGGGUAGUC